UACGUAGGGGGCAAGCGUUGUCCGGAUUUAUUGGGCGUAAAGAGCGUGUAGGCGGCCAUGUAGGUCCGUUGUGAAAACUCGAGGCUCAACCUCGAGACGCCGAUGGAAACCAUGUGGCUAGAGUCCGGAAGAGGAGAGUGGAAUUCCUGGUGUAGCGGUGAAAUGCGCAGAUAUCAGGAGGAACACCGGUGGCGAAGCGGUCGUCUGGCGAUGUCCUGACGCUGAGGAGCGAAAGUGUGGGGAGCGAACAGG
rnacentral:rRNA from 1 species